AGAAUUAAAAAAAAAUAAUAAUAAAAGGCAGUUGAAAGAAAGUUAAAUAGAGAAAGCAAUCAAUAGUAAUGUCUUUUUCUUUCUUUCUUUCUUUUCUUUUUUUUUCUUUUUUU
rnacentral:ribozyme from 1 species